CUAUGCGCCUUGCCAGCCCGCUCAGGUGUGCCAGCCGCCGCGGUAAUACGUAGGUGGCAAGCGUUAUCCGGAUUUACUGGGUGUAAAGGGCGUGUAGGCGGGGAGGCAAGUCAGAUGUGAAAACCACGGGCUCAACCUGUGGCCUGCAUUUGAAACUGUUGGUCUUGAGUAUCGGAGAGGCAGGCGGAAUUCCUAGUGUAGCGGUGAAAUGCGUAGAUAUUAGGAGGAACACCAGUGGCGAAGGCGGCCUGCUGGACGACAACUGACGGUGAGGCGCGAAAGCGUGGGGAGCAAACAGG
rnacentral:rRNA from 1 species